UGGAAAACACUGGCGUGCAACUGCGCAGCUCUUUUCUUUGUCUUUAUUCUGUUUUUCUUUCUUUGAAACGGGGAGGGGAGGAACGAUCAACACUCCUCCCAUACGCUUCAACUUUCACGUCUGUUUUGCCAUUAUCCAUCCUGUUAAGAUAUAAUUAAUGAGAGCUUUCCCGAAUUUCAGACAUCAUGAAAACCAGCCAAUCCCUUCUCUUUGGAGACUACAUUGAAAAUAACAAUAAAAGUGAGGUGGUGCGGGGCUUUUGAAGUCUUUAGAAAACCCAUCUCUGUGAUCUUUGUUCCGCCGCUGGGGAAAGAGGACAUCAUUGCACGUGUCUGGCAUUGUUCAUGACAACACAGCAACCGAAAUGAAGCGAGAGUUUCUGGGAGUAGCAUUAGGAUGCAGCACUCCUGCUGCGCGUGCCCGCUUCCUGCUCGGCACAGCUGCCUUCUCAGCUGGGGGUUUGAAAUCAGCACUCUGAGAAAAGACAGAAAUGACCGUGAUGCAUGCCCCUCACUAGGAAGAAAAGCAUAACAUGCAAUGCCACUGAGGAGGUGACUGCUGUUUAAAAAGGAGAGGUUCUUUCUUUCUUUGAAUCAACAGAGCAUCUCUGGCAGUGGAGGAGAAAAGAAGCGGAGAAGUAUUUCCCUACAUGCUGCAGGUGGUUGCCAAGGAAACGUCCACACUCCACAAGGUCACCUUUGGAAACAACUGCAAGAUGUCAAGAACAGAUCAAUAGACAAAAGCCAAGAUCUCAGCCCUCUAACACCCUCUCUUGUUUUAAAAUAUUACUCCUAACAAACACUUGUUUACCUAAUUCUGUGUGGCUUGGAGUAGUCAAGUGACGUUGAUGAUGAUUUAAGUCAAGCCCAGAAUUUUUCAAGUUCUGUUCUUUGACGCUUUUGAUGUUUAGUGGGGAUGCUUGGAGUGUGGGAAUGUGCUGGGUCAGCAGCCUGAAGAUAGAUCAAAACCAAAUUACAAAGAUAAGCUCCAUUUAAGACUGCAUUUGUAAGAGACUCUAGAAUGAUCAUCAAACUUUGUUUAAAAUAUUAAGAUUUUAAUUUAAGAAAACACUUUAUUAUAUGCUAGAAAUGUGCAGAAUUUUGGUCAGUCAGUCCAUUUCAUCCAUUCAUCUAGACUCUCAUCAGUUAACUUAUUCAUUCAUUCUUUCAUCAGAUAAUUAUGAUUUCAUACUACGUGCCUGGAAAGGCUUUGGGCAUGAGAAGUGAAUAUAAUUCAGUCCCCACAUCUAGCAUCUAAGAGACCUGAGAGACUCAAUCUGAAGAAAAUGCCAAUAUGGAAACCAGUAAUGGAGUCACUUGCAGAGGGGCACUCAGGGAGUUGCUUAUCAUCUCAGCAACUGUUCCUAAUGGGUCAAGGAAGAAAGGGUUUGGGAAGAAUGUUUACAUAUAGUCUUGAGAGUGAAUAUGCACUGAGCCUGGAAUGUAGUACUGGAAGCUCAUCUUAUGACAGAGGCAGCAGCCAAAGGCAGAAAUGUGAGGAACGAGAUGCACUGGGAUCCUGCUGUCGGGAGCUCCAGAUAGACUAGGGGGAGUUUAGACAUGAGGCUAGAAAAGAAAACAGAAGUGCAUCCAUGAAAGUAUUUGGACUGCAUUUUCAAAAGGUACUGCUAGCUUUUCAGACACACCCUUCAUAUGACAACUAAUGACAUUAUUAAAUAAUAUUCUAUAAUAAAUAACUUUGGCUUUAA